UAAAUUUUCAAACUAGACCCUUCUCGAAGCGGUUUUGAUGAAGGAAGUUCACAUUUCGGCCUUUGAUUCUUGGCAAAAAUUUGACCACAACACGUGCGAAGCAACUGGGUCUCAGAGACUGAACUAAAACAUUGUGAGCCCCUAUUUUCCUGACGAUAUGUUUUAUACCUACAAACGCCGAAAAGUUUUUUCUUUUCAUUUAGCUAUAUUUGAAAUUGAGGCCACGGGCUAUUUUUGAGAAAAUACAGUUCAAAGUCAAGCUAUUUUUACAUAUUUUCAAAAUUUGUCAAAUUUCGCG